CGCAUCUGUGCAUGCAGCAUAUCAAUAAGCGGAGGAAAAGAAACUAACAAGGAUUCCCCUAGUAACGGCGAGUGAAGCGGGAAGAGCUCAAAUUUGAAAUCUUAAAGGGUUUCCCUUUACGAAUUGUAGUUUAAAGAAGUGUUUUCUGUUGAGGUUUUGGUAAAAGUUCUUUGGAAUAGGACAUCAUAGAGGGUGAGAAUCCCGUAUUUGACCUUUACUUUCAACUUUGUGAUACACUUUCAAAGAGUCGGAUUGUUUGGGAAUGCAGUCCAAAAUGGGUGGUAAAUUUCAUCUAAAGCUAAAUAUUGGCGAGAGACCGAUAGCGAACAAGUACCGUGAGGGAAAGAUGAAAAGAACUUUGAAAAGAGAGUUAAACAGUACGUGAAAUUGUCAAAAGGGAAGCGUUUGACACCAGUGUUGUUUUUCUGAAAAUCAAUUAAAGAACUGUUUAUGCUAAGUUGUUUAGACUUUAUCAGCUAACUGUUUAGUUUUGAGCUUUUCUUUAAUGCACUUUUCAGUUAACAAGUCAACAUCAAUUUCUUAUGCUGUAAAAAAGCUUGAGGAAGGUGGCUUGAGAUUCGUCUUAAGUGUUUAUAGCCUCUUGCCUAUGCAGUCGGAGAGAUUGAGGUCUGCAGCGUAGAUCCUUCGGGGCUAAAUGCAUUUGUGCUAAGUUAUAGCAUUUUAUAGACAACUUGUUGACUAUGAUUUGUCUUGUAGCUUACUCGCUUAUGUUAUUUUACCUACGCUUAGGAUGUUGACAGCAGUAUAGACUGU
rnacentral:rRNA from 1 species